GUCCCUUCGGGACAUCCGAUAAAUCGAAACGAUACAAAGAAAACGAGUAUAAUUUUUGUGUAAGAAUAACACUAACAAUUUAAGAAAUGGCUCAAAUUUUU